AUUGAACGCUGGCGGCAGGCCUAACACAUGCAAGUCGAACGAGUGGCGGACGGGUGAGUAAUGUCUGGGAAACUGCACGAUGGAGGGGGAUAACUACUGGAAACGGUAGCUAAUACCGCAUACCAUCGGAUGUGCCCAGAGGGGAUUAGCUAGUAGGUGGGGUAACGGCUCAACUAGGCGACGAUCCCUAGCUGGUCUGAGAGGAUGAACAGCCAAAUGGGAACUGAGACACGGUCCAGACUCCUACGGGAGGCAGCAGUGGGGAAUAUUGCACAAUGGGCGCAAGCCUGAUGCAGCCAUGCCGCGUGUAUGAAGAAGGCCUUCGGGUUGUAAAGUACUUUCAGCGAGGAGGCGUUACUCGCAGAAGAAGCACCGGCUAACUCCGUGCCAGCAGCCGCGGUAAUAC
rnacentral:rRNA from 1 species